AGUGAACGCUGGCGGUAGGCCUAACGCAUGCAAGUCGAACGGCAGCACAGUAAGAGCUUGCUCUUACGGGUGGCGAGUGGCGGACGGGUGAGGAAUACAUCGGAAUCUACUUUUUUGUGGGGGAUAACGUAGGGAAACUUACGCUAAUACCGCAUACGACCUACGGGUGAAAGCAGGGGAUCUUCGGACCUUGCGCGAUUGAAUGAGCCGAUGUCGGAUUAGCUAGUUGGCGGGGUAAAGGCCCACCAAGGCGACGAUCCGUAGCUGGUCUGAGAGGAUGAUCAGCCACACUGGAACUGAGACACGGUCCAGACUCCUACGGGAGGCAGCAGUGGGGAAUAUUGGACAAUGGGCGCAAGCCUGAUCCAGCCAUACCGCGUGGGUGAAGAAGGCCUUCGGGUUGUAAAGCCCUUUUGUUGGGAAAGAAAAGCAGCAGGUUAAUACCCCGCUGUUCUGACGGUACCCAAAGAAUAAGCACCGGCUAACUUCGUG
rnacentral:rRNA from 1 species